CCUACGGGUGGCAGCAGUGGGGGAUAUUGCACAAUGGGGGAAACCCUGAUGCAGCGACGCCGCGUGGGUGAAGAAGUAAUUCGUUAUGUAAAGCUCUGUCAGCAGGGAAGAAAAUGACGGUACCUGAGGAAGAAGCCCCGGCUAACUACGUGCCAGCAGCCGCGGUAAUACGUAGGGGGCAAGCGUUAUCCGGAUUUACUGGGUGUAAAGGGAGCGUAGACGGCGAUGCAAGUCUGGAGUGAAAGGCGGGGGCCCAACCCCCGGACUGCUCUGGAAACUGUGGGGCUGGAGUGCAGGAGGGGCAAGCGGAAUUCCUAGUGUAGCGGUGAAAUGCGUAGAUAUUAGGAGGAACACCAGUGGCGAAGGCGGCUUGCUGGACUGUAACUGACGUUGAGGCUCGAAAGCGUGGGGAGCAAACAGGAUUAGAUACCCGGGUAGUC
rnacentral:rRNA from 1 species